GCUGGAUGGUCUGAUUCUGCCAUGCCCUCUGCCACCUACCAGAGUACUUCUUAGUGCUCCAUCAAUCACAGAGGGCCUCCCAUAUGUCUGUCUAUAUCCAGUGAUUUGUGUAAGACUUUUAGUCUGAUGGUAAGUUGGAACUGGAGUGCUCUAUGGCGGACUGUCUAAAGCUAUACAGCGUAUCCCGGAGCCUAUUGUGGCCAUCUUCUCAAAGAUCUGAUGGCUAGCCUCCUUAUCCUGAGGAGUCUUGAAUCAGUAGUACUCCUACAAGUAGAAGCAAGCAUAUAUUAAUAAAUAGAAUAUAAACCUACUGUGA
rnacentral:lncRNA from 1 species